rnacentral:rRNA from 1 species
GAUGAACGCUGGCGGCGUGCCUAAUACAUGCAAGUCGAGCGAACGGACGAGAAGCUUGCUCCUCUGAUGUUAGCGGCGGACGGGUGAGUAACACGUGGAUAACCUACUUAUAAGACUGGGGUAACUUCGGGAAACCGGAGCUAAUACUGGAUCAUAUUUUGAACCGCAUGGAUCAAAAGUGAAUGACGGCUUUCCUGUCACUUAUAGAUGGUUCCGCGCUGCAUUAGCUAGUUGGUAAGGUAACGGCUCACCAAGGCAACGAUGCGUAGCUGACCUGAGAGGAUGAUCAGCCACACUGGAACUGAGACACGGUCCAGACUCCUACGGGAGGCAGCAGUGGGGAAUCUUCGGCAAUGGGCGAAAGCCUGACGCAGCAACGCCGCGUGAGUGAUGAAGGUCUUCGGGUCGUAAAACUCUGUUAUUAGGAAAGAACAUAUGUAGAAGUAACUGUGCACAUCUUGACGGUACCUAAUCAGAAAGCCACGGCUAACUUCGUG